rnacentral:rRNA from 1 species
UACGAAGGGGGCUAGCGUUACUCGGAUUGACUGGGCGUAAAGGGUGCGUAGGCGGGUCUUUAAGUCAGGGGUGAAAUCCUGGAGCUCAACUCCAGAACUGCCUUUGAUACUGAGGAUCUUGAGUUCGGGAGAGGUGAGUGGAACUGCGAGUGUAGAGGUGAAAUUCGUAGAUAUUCGCAAGAACACCAGUGGCGAAGGCGGCUCACUGGCCCGGUACUGACGCUGAGGUGCGAAAGCGUGGGGAGCAAACAGG